AACUUGUUCUUUAAAUAGGGACUAGUAUCAACGGCAUCACGAGGGUUAUCCUGUCUCCUUUCUCUAAUCAGUGAACCUGACCUCUUCGUGAAGAGGCGAAGAUAUAAAUAUAAGACGAGAAGACCCCAUGGAGCUUAAAACAUAGAAACAAUUUCUUUACCACAAACCCUAAAAAAUAAGAAUAUCUGUUAGCUAGUUUUCGGCUGGGGUGCCCAAGGAGAAUAACCCAACCUCCCUGACGAUCUGUAUCCAAGAGCAACAGCUCGAAGAAACAAUAAAUUGACGCAAAAUGACCCGAUUUUCACAAUCGAUCAACGAACCAAGUUACCCUGGGGAUAACAGCGCAAUCCAUUUCAAGAGCCCCU
rnacentral:rRNA from 1 species